rnacentral:tRNA from 1 species
CGCGGGGUAGAGCAGUCUGGUAGCUCGUUGGGCUCAUAACCCAAAGGUCGCUGGUUCAAAUCCAGCCCCCGCCACCA